rnacentral:rRNA from 1 species
CAGCAGCCGCCACGGUAAUACGAAGGGUGCAAGCGUUACUCGGAAUUACUGGGCGUAAAGCGUGCGUAGGUGGUGGUUUAAGUCCGUUGUGAAAGCCCUGGGCUCAACCUGGGAAUUGCAGUGGAUACUGGGUCACUAGAGUGUGGUAGAGGAUAGUGGAAUUUCCGGUGUAGCAGUGAAAUGCGUAGAGAUCGGAAGGAACAUCUGUGGCGAAGGCGACUAUCUGGGCCAACACUGACACUGAGGCACGAAAGCGUGGGGAGCAAACAGGAUUAGAUACCCCUGUAGUCCCUGUCUCUUAUAC